UACGUAGGGUGCGAGCGUUAAUCGGAAUUACUGGGCGUAAAGAGCUCGUAGGCGGUUCGUCGCGUCGGCUGUGAAAACCCGGGGCUCAACCCCGGGCCUGCAGUCGAUACGGGCAGACUAGAGUGUGGUAGGGGAGACUGGAAUUCCUGGUGUAGCGGUGAAAUGCGCAGAUAUCAGGAGGAACACCGGUGGCGAAGGCGGGUCUCUGGGCCAUAACUGACGCUGAGGAGCGAAAGCGUGGGGAGCGAACAGG
rnacentral:rRNA from 1 species